GGCUACACAGAGAAACCCUGUCUCGAAAAACCAAAAAAAAAAAAAAAAAAAAACCUGGGAUUAAAGGUGAGCUACUAUGCCAACUCAACUCUGAGAAUGUUAGAAGUAUCAUAAGUAUGUUAGAUUAAAUAUUGAGUAUAUGUACAAUAUUUAUGGAAGUGGCUAAUGUUUUUAAUAUUUUGAGCUCAGUGCCUUUGAAGGUGUCCUGAUUAGUGAACUGUUCAGUGACACUGGACUUUUUUUUAUUAGAUAUUUUCUUCAUUUACAUUUGAAAUGCUAUCCCGAAAGUCCCCUAUAACCUCCCCCCUCCCCUACUCACCCACCCCACCCACUCCCACUUCUUGGCCCUGGUGUUCCCUGUACUGGGCCAUAUAAAGUUUGCAAGACUAAGGGGCCUUUCUUCCCAAUGAUGGCAGACUAGGCCAUCUUCUGCUACAUAUGUAGCUAGAGACACAAGCUCUGGGGGUACUGGUUAGUUCAUAUUGUUGUUCCACCUAUAGGAUUGCAGACUCCUUCAGCUCCUUGGGUAUUUUUUCUAGCUAAUCCAUUGGGGGUCCUGUGUUCCAGCCUAUAGAUGACUGUGAGCAUCCACUUCUGUAUUUGCUAGGCACUGGCAUAGCCUCACAAGAGACAGCUAUAUCAGGGUCCUUUCAGCAAAAUCUUGCUGGCAUAUGCAAUCGUCUUAGUUCCAAACUUUGUCUCUGUAACUCCUUUCAUGGGUCUUUUAUUCCCUAUUCUAAGGAGGAAUGAAGUAUCCACUCGUUGGUCUUCCUUCUUGACUUUCUUGUAUUUUGCAAAUGGUAUCUUUAUUGUAGUGAAUUAUCUAUUGCAUCCUCUGUAUAUUCAGGUAAAAAGCUGAGUUCUGUCUAAUCUUGAAAUGCUAAUACUUAACCAGAUGUGUGUUUACAGUAUUCUGGUUUUGGUUUUAAGAAAAGAUUUUUUUCAGAUAGAUUUAAUACAUGAAUAGAAGUUAAAUAUAUGUGAAUUUUGUAUCUUCUUGCACAAAUGCCAAUUAAGUAGUGUGAGAUGCCUACCAUGUACUUGGUACACUUCCUUAAUGUUCUCCAUCCCUUUGUCAGUAUUGACCAGGCUUCUAUCAAACAAACAAGUUACAGAAAGAGAAACUACAUUACAUUGUUCUUAGGAUUUAGUUUUCUUCUACUGAAUGACUUGUUUGCUUGAUAUUAAGUUCACAGACCGUAAAGGGGUGAAUAAUCAGACGUUUCAGAUCUCAAGUACAGUAGGUGGAUAUUCUAAAUGUAAUAGAUUAAUUUUCUUAAUUAUAAGGAGGAGUUAUGUUGACUAAUUUCCUAAAAGGGU
rnacentral:lncRNA from 1 species